rnacentral:rRNA from 1 species
GACAGAGGGGGCAAGCGUUGCUCGGAAUCACUGGGCGUAAAGGGCGCGUAGGCGGGAUGGCAAGUCGGUCGUGAAAUCCUUCGGCUCAACCGAAGAACGUCGGCCGAUACUGCCGUUCUUGAGGGAUGCAGAGGAGAUUGGAAUUCCCGGUGUAGCGGUGAAAUGUGUAGAGAUCGGGGGGAACACCGGUGGCGAAGGCGGGUCUCUGGGCAUCUCCUGACGCUGAGGCGCGAAAGCGUGGGGAGCAAACGGG